rnacentral:rRNA from 1 species
UACGUAGGGUCCGAGCGUUGUCCGGAGUUAUUGGGCGUAAAGCGCGCGUAGGUGGCUUCAUAAGUCCGUUGUGAAAGUCAAAGGCUCAACCUUUGAAAGCCGAUGGAUACUGUGAAGCUAGAGUACGGAAGAGGCGAGUGGAAUUCCUGGUGUAGCGGUGGAAUGCGCAGAUAUCAGGAGGAACACCAAUAGCGAAGGCAGCUCGCUGGGACGUUACUGACACUGAGGCGCGAAAGCGUGGGGAGCGAACAGG